rnacentral:rRNA from 1 species
GAUGAACGCUGGCGGCGUGCCUAAUACAUGCCAGUCGAGCGAACGGACGAGAAGCUUGCUUCUCUGAUGUUAGCGGCGGACGGGUGAGUAACACGUGGAUAACCUACCUAUAAGACUGGGAUAACUUCGGGAAACCGUAGCUAAUACCGGAUAAUAUUUUGAACCGCAUGGUUCAAAAGUGAAAGACGGUCUUGCUGUCACUUAUAGAUGGAUCCGCGCUGCAUUAGCUAGUUGGUAAGGUAACGGCUUACCAAGGCAACGAUGCAUAGCCGACCUGAGAGGGUGAUCGGCCACACUGGAACUGAGACACGGUCCAGACUCCUACGGGAGGCAGCAGUAGGGAAUCUUCCGCAAUGGGCGAAAGCCUGACGGAGCAACGCCGCGUGAGUGAUGAAGGUCUUCGGAUCGUAAAACUCUGUUAUUAGGGAAGAACAUAUGUGUAAGUAACUGUGCACAUCUUGACGGUACCUAAUGAGAAAGCCACGGCUAACUACGUG